UACGUAGGGUGCAAGCGUUAAUCGGAAUUACUGGGCGUAAAGCGUGCGUAGGUGGUUCUUUAAGUCAGGUGUGAAAUCCCCGGGCUCAACCUGGGAACUGCAUUUGAUACUGAAGAGCUAGAGUGUGGUAGAGGAUAGUGGAAUUCCCGGUGUAGCGGUGAAAUGCGUAGAUAUCGGGAGGAACAUCAGUGGCGAAGGCGGCUAUCUGGACCAACACUGACACUGAGGCACGAAAGCGUGGGUAGCAAACAGG
rnacentral:rRNA from 1 species